rnacentral:misc_RNA from 1 species
AACGCACCUUGCGCCCUUUGGCUAUUCCGAAGGGCAUGCCUGUUUGAGUAUCAUGAACACCUCAACUCUCAUGGUUUGCCGUGAUGAGCUUGGACUUUGGGGGUCUUGCUGGCUUAUGGUCAGCUCCUCUUAAACGAAUCAGCUUGCCAGUGUUUGGUGGCAUCGCAGGUGUGAUAACUAUCUACGCUUGUGGUUUUCCAUCAGGUAACCUUCAGUGAUGGAGGUUCGCUGGGGCUCAUAAAGGUCUCUCCUCAGCGAGGACAGCUUUUUGAACGUUUGAUCUCAAAUCAGGUAGGACUACCCGCUGAACUUAA